rnacentral:tRNA from 1 species
GCCCAGAUAGCUCAGUCGGUAGAGCGUAUCCUUGGUAAGGAUAAGGUCGCCAGUUCAAUCCUGGCUCUGGGCUCCA